GCGGGAGGCCUAACACAUGCAAGCUGAGCGGUAGAGAUCUUUCGGCAUCUUGAGAGCGGCGUACGGGUGCGGAACACGUGUGCAACCUGCCUUUAUCAGGGGGAUAGCCUUUCGAAAGGAAGAUUAAUACUCCAUAAUAUAAUUUACGGCAUCGUGAAUUAUUGAAAACUCCGGUGGAUAGAGAUGGGCACGCGCAAGAUUAGAUAGUUGGUGAGGUAACGGCUCACCAAGUCGAUGAUCUUUAGGGGGCCUGAGAGGGUGAUCCCCCACACUGGUACUGAGACACGGACCAGACUCCUACGGGAGGCAGCAGUGAGGAAUAUUGGACAAUGGGUUAGCGCCUGAUCCAGCCAUCCCGCGUGAAGGACGACGGCCCUAUGGGUUGUAAACUUCUUUUGUACAGGGAUAAACCUAUCUACGUGUAGAUAGCUGAAGGUACUGUACGAAUAAGCACCGGCUAACUCCGUGCCAGCAGCCGCGGUAAUACGG
rnacentral:rRNA from 1 species